GACGAACGCUGGCGGCAUGCCUAACACAUGCAAGUCGAACGAAACCUUCGGGCCUAGUUGCGCACGGGUGCGUAACGCGUGGGAACCUGCACUUAGGUUAGCAAUAACUCCCCGAAGGAGAUCCUCAUACCGCUUAAUGUCUUCGCACCAAAGAUUUAUGGCGUUUGGAUGGGCGCGCGUUAGAUUAGCCAGUUGGUAGGGGAAAAGCCUGCCAAGGCGACGAUGCAUAGCUGGUCGGAGAGGAGGACCAGCCACACUGGGAAUGAGACACGGCCCAGACUCCUACGGGAGGGAGCAGUGGGGAAUAUUAGAGGAGGGGGGAAAGCGUGAUCAAGCAACGCCGGGGGAGUGAUGAAGGCCUUAGGGUUGCAAAGCUCUUUUACCCGGGAUGAUAAUGACGGUACCGGGAGAAUAAGCACCGGCUAACUACGUG
rnacentral:rRNA from 1 species